UCAGCUCACUCUGACAAACACUGUCUCACAGGUAACGUUGCUUGUGGAGAGAGAGAACGAGAAAAAAAGAUAGAGAGAGACGAGAGAGACGACAGAGAGAGAGAGAGAGAGAGCUAGACGCAAUCACAAGUUACAGGCAAACUUCAACCACCGGUGCAGCCGAGUGCAGCCGAGUAGAGAACUCAGCUAUAGACAACGAUAGACAAAAAUGCAUUCUUCAGGAUUAAAAUGGAGUGCGCUUGGCAAAGUGCUACUGGUGGCGACACUAGUACUGCUCGCAGUGACCGCUGCCAUACCGACAGAUGACGCCAGGAUCCACAGUGUGAGAGUGAAGCGAUGGUUCACUACCGGCGUCCACGACCUGGUUUGCCAAUACGUGAAUAACUUCAUAUGUAGUCAUAACUGCGUGUGCCCAGGAUGUUGUUUUGGGAGGCGACGCAAGCGGCACAUAUUCAGGCACAUCACGUGCGCGGCAGCAUGUAGCGUCAACUGUCCGACUCCCGUGUGCCCGAAGCCGUGAUGGGUUAGAGCUUAAAAAAAAAACACUCACCAAACUGGGCGAGUGAGUCAAUAAGUUAACUCGCCCGAAUGGAAUCUGUACGCGCCCAAAGUUUAAAACAAAAAAUUGAUUUAAACUACACAUUUAAUUCAUUGAUCACAUUAUAAGUAGGGCACCUCGGUACCCGUCACAGCAAAGUUACAAAUUUGCAAAAAUACAAAAGGUCCAAUCGAGAGGCCCCUUUUUUCAUCCAAGUCGCACAACCACUGAAAGUGCCUAAAUAGUCUCCGUUCUUGACCAAUGCAUGGGCAUUCCGGAAUAAAAUUCUGAGCUUCUCAGAAUGCUGCGUGUGAAGAAGACCGACCGCGACGUUAGCAAGGCUUUUUUCGGAUUCUGUACAGCCUUGACAUGAUCAGAAGCACAUGCAUGUGCCUCAGACAGCUCAUGAUAGGAUUUGUCAUUAUACGCUCCUGUAUUUGUCAUUAUACGCAUUAUAUUGUCAUUCGACGUAUUUGUCAUGAUCCUUAUUUGUCAUUAUACGCUCCUGAUAAUACCGUACGUGAUUGGCUAAGCUGAAUCGCGACUGCUCAAUCAGAGCAUGGCAUUCGUUAGUGUGUGGUUACACCACGGCAUGUAUACACAAUGAAUGUGGCGUGAUGACAUCGCUAGUUGUUAUUAUACUAUUUGUUACUAUGUGUUACUAUAUAUGUAUAACUGUUUUUCACCAAUGUUUGGAUAAAAAAAAAAGUAAGGAACCAAUAUUUGAUUAAAGCUUUAGGCAAUUAUUUUUACUCGCCAACACGGGCGAGUCAGUUUUAGCUUUGACUCGCCCGAUAUUAUUUUCACUCGACAUUGGCGAGCGGGCGA